rnacentral:rRNA from 1 species
GAUGAACGCUGGCGGCGUGCCUAAUACAUGCAAGUCGAGCGAACAGAUGAGGAGCUUGCUCCUCUGACGUUAGCGGCGGACGGGUGAGUAACACGUGGAUAACCUACCUAUAAGACUGGGAUAACUUCGGGAAACCGGAGCUAAUACCGGAUAAUAUAUUGAACCGCAUGGUUCAAUAGUGAAAGACGGUUUUGCUGUCACUUAUAGAUGGAUCCGCGCCGCAUUAGCUAGUUGGUAAGGUAACGGCUUACCAAGGCAACGAUGCGUAGCCGACCUGAGAGGGUGAUCGGCCACACUGGAACUGAGACACGGUCCAGACUCCUACGGGAGGCAGCAGUAGGGAAUCUUCCGCAAUGGGCGAAAGCCUGACGGAGCAACGCCGCGUGAGUGAUGAAGGUCUUCGGAUCGUAAAACUCUGUUAUUAGGGAAGAACAAAUGUGUAAGUAACUAUGCACGUCUUGACGGUACCUAAUCAGAAAGCAACGGCUAACUACGUG